CCUACGGGUGGCAGCAGUGGGGAAUAUUGGGCAAUGGAGGCAACUCUUACCCAGCAAUGCCGCGUGAAUGAAGAAGGUCUUCCGAUUUUUAAGUUCUUUAAUUGGGGGCGAAAAAAAUGACUGUACCCAUGCAAUAAGCCUCGGCGAACAACGUGCCAGUAGCCGCUGUAUUACGUAGGGGGCAAGCGUUGUUCGGAAUGACUGGUCGUAAAGGGUGUGUAGGCGGUGUAGCAAGUGAGAAGGGAAAUACCUAGGGCUUAACUCAGGUGCUGCUUCUAAAACUGCUAUACUUGAGUGCAGUAGAGGAAAGUGGAAUUCCUGGUGUAGCGGUGGAAUGCGUAGAUAUUAGGAGGAACAUUAGUGGCGAAGGCGACUUUCUGGACUGUAACUGACGCUGAGGCACGAAAGUGUGGGGAGCGAACAGGAUUAGAUACCCCUGUAGUC
rnacentral:rRNA from 1 species